rnacentral:lncRNA from 1 species
GGGAAAAAAAUAAUCUUGCAUCCAGUUUACAAUCUUCUCUUUGUGGGUGGUAAAAUUUGUCAGAUUUUCUCACUUUUGCUUGAUCUUCUCACCUUUGCUCGAUCAUUGUACUGUAUUUUUUUUCUAUUUUAUUUUUUGUUCAAUUUUUUGAUUAAAAAUCGAGUCUUUUUCAUGCUAUUUUUCUUUCUUUUCGGAUGAAAAAAAAU